rnacentral:rRNA from 1 species
AUGGCAAUUGUCCAUACAUACGGGAAGCCAGACAUCUUCCUCACCAUGACUUGCAAUCCUAAAUGGGACGAGAUAACAAACGAGUUGCUGCCUGGUCAGACGGCGCAAGACCGACCUGAUAUUGUGGCUCGUGUGUUCUAUGGCAAACUAGAGCACAUGAAGUACAUGUUGUUCAAGAAGCAUAUCCUGGGUGUUGUAGUUGCUUACGUAUACGUAGUCGAGUUCCAAAAAAGGGGCCUC